rnacentral:lncRNA from 1 species
AAAAACAGACUCAAAACAUAAAAAAUAAAAAUAAAAAUCUCUUUAAGCAACUCCUAAAUGAGCGAUCCUGAUUAGAUGGUCCCAGAGUGUCUGUCAUGCUCAAACUUCGGUAAGUAAAUCCACACCUGUAUGAAAAAAUUAAGACCUAAUAAGGUUAAAGACCUCGAACGCUAUGAUAGACAAUAACUCUUCCUGUUGGACACAUGCAAAACACGAUUGUGACUAUUUUUCUAAAAUUAACCUAUGUGACUAAAAGUGGCUUAAAAUGCAAGAUUUGACUAAGACCCGCGAAGCCAAGAACCUAAAAUCACUAGGAAUAUCAGACCCUAUGUGGGUUGCCUACGUAUCACCCCCCGAAAGACGAGAAUCAGGCAUGCGUAGUUCGUGCAGAUUGGAUACGGGCGAGAAUAAAAAAACAACAACUAGUUUAGAGAAUAAUAUGUUCUUUUUUUGAUCCUUUUUUUUUUGAAAAAUGAUGAAACAUGUAAACUCUUUUUGGGUUUUCUUUUCCUUUUUUUUUUUGAUUUUUUUCUUAAUUUUCGGAAAAUAAUGAAAAAGUGCAAAAUCUUUUUUUGUUGUUGAGUUUUUCAAGUUUUUUUUUCUUAACAAAAUGUGAAAGAAAACAUAAUUGGGCCCUACUUGCUUUAUUUUCACACUUCACCCUCUUUUUUUCUUUUUUUUUCAUUUGCCCUCAACUAUCAUUGGUCCGCCAAAUGACCCUUUUACCCUUGAAGAUUGCAACAUGUAGCACAUAUGAUGCAUCAGGAUGGUCUUACAUUUUUUGGGUACACCUGGCCUAGACGGACCCAACCACUAUGUUAAGUCCCCAAAGUCAAAUGCACAUGAUGCAAACAAACGUGCCCACUAGGGAUCCGGCAUAAGGUUAUGUUAUUCAAGUUUAAACCUGGGGUUGUGUUCUUGAACUGGCUUACCCGAGCAGACUACUCGAGCCGAAGAGGGGGCAACGUACCGAGAGAACUAAAGUCUACCCGGCCUUGUUGCUAGCCCAGGAGAAGGUGUGCAUCAUUUUCACACGAACGUGUGCAUCAUUUUCAGAAGACUUAGAGGGGUGGCGUAAGAAGACAGUUAUAUACAAUUCAAAUAAUAUCAAAGCGGUAAAUAGACAACAAUUAGCACAAAAGGUUCACAAAAUAGUAAUAUUAACAAUAAAUAAAGCCAAAUAAAAUCAUAUUAACUAGCUUGGAUUCUUGAACCCUAAACUAGAGAUUCUAGGUUCUUAUCCCCAGCAGAGUCUCCAGAGCUGUCACACCGCCUUUUUCCCACCCCUGGAAGGGGGUAUAAGGGAUUUUUUCCAAUUUAAGUGACAAUCGAAACAUGAUUAUUUAUAUUAAAUUCAGAGUCACCACUUGGGAUAAUUUAUGGUGUCCCAAGUCAUCGGUUUAAAAUCCCGAAUCGAGGAAAGUUGACUCUUAUUUAUGGUCUGCGAACACAGAAAUCCGGGUAAGAAAUUCUGUUAACCCGGGAGAAGGUGUUAGGCAUUCCAGGGUUCCGUAGUUUUAGUACGGUCACACUGAUCAUACUUGGUUUAUUCAAAUUGUCUAAUUACUCAUUUUAGAACCUAUGUGCAUUUGCCUCUUUUAAUUAAGGAAUUAUCUUGAAAACGAGUCACGCGUACGUGUACUCAUUUGUUUAGUGCGUCAAGAAUCAUGUCACGCGUACGUGUCCACAAUUCCUAACACUUAGUUAUUAUUAAGAAAAGUUUGGUCGAAAUUGCGCAAACGCAUACCCCGAUUUUGUUUUUAGGGUCGUAAUUAUGUCACGAAAACGUGUACACAAUCACGAUGAUUUAUUAACUGUGGGGCAUACCUAAAAGUAUACUAGCAUACAUGGAAAGAGAGGACACUUAUUCUUAUUUGCAUUCGGUAAACUCUAUUGCCUCAACCUAACAAUCAUUCAAAACCAUCCGAACGAACAUACAAAAACAAACAUAUGGACAAAUAAACACUAAACCAUUCCAAGAAACAUGAACUAUGUAAAGAUGAAAACAACUUAAAUCUCCAAAGGGUUUAAAUUUGUUAUUUAAAUUUAAAUCUGCAUUCAUGUCUUUUCAAAAUCACCUAGUAACACUUGAAUUCAACAGAGAAAAAUAUAAAAGAUAAUCCUAUAAAUUCAUUAUGCUAAAGAAACCAUGAUUAGAAUAAUAAUUUUUUUUAAAACAUAUUUCCUAUGAAACGAGGUGAUGGAAAACAAGCAAAGCAUUAUUCUAUUCUUAGUAGAAGACUCAAAUGAGGUGAUGCAAAACAAGCAAGCAUUAUCGAUAUCAGGUAGGAUUAAUGAAGAGAAAUGGACCUGAAAUUAGAAAAUGGGACAACUGAUUCAGAUGUUAACUUCAAACUCAAGCGAAACAACAACAACAAAGUCGAGCAAGAAAUCGCAAGCAAAAUCGAAACCUCGAACCGAAAACCUCAUCGAAUUCGGAACAGUCUGCCUUCAACGGUGACCUUCACAUGAUUCAAACUUGAAUUCGGCUCCAAACAUUAAUUAAACUCCAUGUUGCAGAAAAAUAAGAACCAAAUCGAGAAUGGGGAAGACGAAGUAGUUUUUGUACUGUUUUCGAUUGCUCUGUUCGUGUUUGUCUAUUAUAGCUCUACACCCGUUCUCUCACUAUUUUUGUGUGUGUGCGUGUGAUGCUGUUGAGGGAGUUCCGAAGAAGAAGGGUGUAUGACUGUUCUCCGUUUUUCGGAGAGCUCAGAGGUAGAAGAACGACGAUCUGUUGGUGCGUGUGUGCAUGUGUCCGGCGUUAGGUUGCUGGAAGCUGUUGUUGGAAUGAAGAAGAAGAUGGAAUUCAGAUGGGGGAUUGUCAUUUGUUUGAAGAAGAAGCAGAACGGUGGGGGAGGGAUCUAUGUAUUCUGCAGCUGAUUAGAUCUCUUAGGCAUUAGGUUAGCUCCUCAUUUUUUGUCAAAAACGGCUGUCAGCUCCUAGAGUUUUCCCAGUUUUUGGGAAGAAGAAAGAGCUCCAAGGUGUUUUUUGUAGGUCUCUUUUAAUCAAAA